CUAAUUAUUUCAUUCCCCGCCCAUCCAGUCGAUAAUCAUUAUCUUCAAUUCCCACAAAUGUACAAAACUCAUCCUUAGAUUCAAUGAGUUUUAUUUGUUUGUUGCUUGUGCAUAACUGUAAUAGAUUUGGGAAACAGUUCUAAGAAUAAACAUCCUUUAAUUGGUCUUAUGAUAAAUUAAUCUUCCGAAUUUGGUACGUUGCGGGACCUGGUCUGGAGGUAAGACGGCACGAGGUGUAAUGGCGGAAAAGACACUUGGACGCCUGCACGUAGUGUACCGGAGAGGCGCGAGAGGACAGGAGUUGCCGGCUGCAGUACCAACUGCCGCAGACAGAUGGCAGGUCGAGUCGCUGGCAGCAAAAGUAUGGGCGUCAUCACAUCCGUACAGGUUACAGCUGACUGCAGUUCGUGACAUGUUCGUUUAAAGUAGGAAAUAUUGGGUAUUUUCGUCUUGAGUGAACCAACAAUGCUGUGCUUUUAGUUGGACUUUCGAAUGCAAGAAGAGAGGGACGCAGCAAGAAGAAUAAUACGGCUGGUGAGCAUCUGAAGAGCAAACUGGCAGAAUAGAAAAGCAACUGCUUUUAUAUAAAAGAUUGGACAGCCUUCAAAUGUGACCACAAUGGCAUCAGUCCUGCUGAGAACAUGGACACAAUAGAUGAUGAAGUCACCACUCUGAAGAACUGAGUAAAACAGCUUCAUGCUGAAAUUGAAGUUUUAAACUGAAAACUAAACCUCUCUUCUUUUGCACCUUUUACGAAAGACAACCUCCGUACCGAUGUGGACGGUUUACUCGGUGCAGAUCAGUUUGCAAUAUUAACAAAGGGAAAACACUGCAGAAAGAGCUGAAAAUUAGACUACCUUGUUGUAGUAUGGGGUGAAAACUCAUGCUGGAAAAUAAAUUUCCAUUUCCUUCAGACAGAACCCUGAAAUGUUCACUCCAGAAUGUAAAAUUUAGGCCCAUUGUGCUGAGGGAGCUAAUGAGUUCCCUGAAAGUGAAGCUUGCCCUCAUGUUAGCAGUGGAGAAACAUCGUGCUCUCACGAUGGAUGCAGUUAGUAUCACUCCAUCAUUCGAAUACGAUUGAAGAAAUGGCUGCAUCAUUGGUAAUGACGUGACACACCUCCAUCAAAUCUUGCCCUUGCAACAACUACAGCUUCUCAUGCAUUAGUUUUUAUGCUGGGUGGUAUCACCUCAAGAUGGAAACAAAUCAUAGGUUACCAUUACAGGGACUGGUGAUCUCAGAUGUUAGGUCACAUAGUGAUAAGAGCCAUUUACCAUUACACAUGGCCAUCGUUUUUCCAGUUCUCAUGUCAAAGACAUCAUUACAAACAUUAUUAGAGAAUCUCGGGCACUCGUACAAUGUUCGCUGCAUCGUGUCAGGUACGGGAGGGCAAAAUCGUGCUGAAUGGCGAGAAUUUGGCAUUGUUGUCGAAAGGUUUUCAAAAUUAGUUUCUGCCAGUAUCCUUGUGAUAAUAAUAGGAAACUAAUUUUCCUUGCAGAUACACCACACAUUUUGAAAAAUAUGAGGAACCACGUAUUGAAUGGGCAAUGAGUUCUCCUCUGACAAAAUGUUGCCGAGGGACGUGAUCUGCCUUGUAAGGAGGUACAAAUAAAUCGUGGAGAACAGUGGCUUGAGGUAGACAGUGGUUUUAAGUCUUUAACUGGCACCACAACUGCGUGAGAAGUGUUUGAUUCCAAACCAUUACGAGUAAAUGAAAGUUGGCUCGUCUACUGCCCUAAUUAGCAGCCAGGCUGCGGCAGCCAAGCUGCGGCAGCCAUUGAGCAGGCUGUCAAGACUGAGAUACUGCAGAAAACACUUUAACCGCAGCACGGUCUCUAAGGCACUUUCAUAAGUGGUCUUGCCUCAUGACAUCCAGAGCUCCAGUUACAGCUCUGAGUCGUUCUAAUGAACAAACAUACAGUGAGGGUCUCUUUCAUCUUUAGGACACUGUCAUUAUUUGGAAACUUGAAAAUUGGGCUGAACAGUGCCUGGAAACCAAUUCAGUCUGGUGUAGCUUUGACUACUGUAGGUAUUUUGCAAUUUUAGGACACAUGCCUGAAUGAGAAAAAAUUUAAAUUUUUCUGUUGAGUAGAUUUACAAAAGAUCCUUAGAAAAUCUGUUUUCAAUGUUCAGGUUCAAAAGUCCCAUACCAGCACCACAAGAGUAGAAAUUGGCACUGAGGGUUAUUGCUCUUUCUCUGAUCUUUAUUACUGCCACAGAUAAUAAUGAAAAUAAAAUUAAUGGGGGAAUCGCUAAGUGAAGAUGAGGGUAAGUAUUCUGAGGAAGUUGAUGACCCCCUUUGCAACGCUGUGUGUGGUGAUGAGCAGCCACCAGUCUCUCUACUGUUUGUGUGGCCAUCUAGAAAAAUGUCUGUAUGUCUGUGAAUGUGCUUUUACAACUAAAAUUCUUUAGAGACCUCACUUAUUGAGCCACCAAGUGCGGUUUUGUGUGUAUUUCAAAAGGCAGAGGUGUAGUUGAGAAGCAAACAACAAGAUGUUACUCUCAGGUGAAUUGUUGCUCUCUGAUACAGCCACUGCAGUGCCUGCAUCAGUGGAGGAGAAAGUAGUUUUCCCAGCCUGCCACAGUGUACAGGAGAAAAUAAUUCACAGGUUCAUGGCAACAAGAAUUCAUCUGCUUCUAAGGGAUGGAAAUAAAAGAUAUCAGGGUGUAGUGACACAGGGCAGUUGAAGCAUCACCAUGAGAAAAGUAGUGCAGAAACUGACUUCCAAAAUCACUUUUUAGUAAAUGAUUUGAAAAAUUGACAUACAUCAGCAUGUUGAGACAUAAAAUCUGUGUUAACGAUUUUUCUUCAAAUGUUGUCAUUUUUCUGUUACGUACAGCUAUUUUUAUAUUUUUGUUUUACGUUUUUCUCAGAGUGUGGAGUACUUUUAUUAUCUCGUGUAAUAUUUGCUACAUUUUGCAAGUAGAGUAUACCCGUGUCAAGGAUUCAGAAGGAUGCAUAUAUAAAUAAAAACUUCAUCGUUCAA